rnacentral:misc_RNA from 1 species
GAUGAAGAACGUAGCGAAAUGCGAUACUUGGUGUGAAUUGCAGAAUUCCGUGAACCAUCGAGUCUUUGAACGCAAGUUGCGCCUCAAGCCAUUAGGUUGAGGGCACGUCUGCCUGGGCGUCACAUAUCGUUGCCUGAUGCCAGUUUCCUCGUGAUGGGUGACUGUGCAGGGCGAAUGAUGGCUUCCCGUGAGCAUUGUUGCCUCAUGGUUGGUUGAAAAUUGAGUCCUUGGUAGGGAGCGCCGUGAUAGAUGGUGGUUGAGUGACGAACGAGACCCAAUCAUGUGAGACCCCUACCGAAUUUGGCCUUCAUGACCCACAUGCGUCUUUGGAACGCUCAUGACGAGACCUCAGGUCAGGCGGGGCUACCCGCUGAGUUUAAGCAUAUCAAUAAGCGGAGGA